rnacentral:snRNA from 1 species
GAAUGUCACCUGGCCACAACAUCUGUCACCCUAUUGAUCACCAGGGUUGAUUGGACUCCCGCUUAUCUGGCUAGAUAUCUCCUUCCUCCCGGCUCCAUGUGCAUCCCUCCCCAAUCUAUGUGUUUGGUUGAAGACAGCAAUUUUCUAUAAUAGAAGAAUUCUACUGUUCACUCAAGGAUGAACACAAUAGCUGUGCUCAUACACAUAAAAUAAAAAUAAUAAAUUUAAAAAAUUUUUCAAAAGGACCAAAAGCCGGGUGUGGUGGCGCACUCCUUU